UGUAAAGUGUUUUUUUUUUUGUUCCCAGAGUCAGAGAAGCCUACUCUUUUAACUCCUGGAAUUCUGUUAGUUUCAAGGAUGAGAAGGUCAAGGUUGGCAAUGUGGAAAUGAAGUCAAAGGUGUGGUGCUCCAGCCAUGCUGUUAAAAUGUGGAUUCCUUGGAAUUUUAAGGUAAGAGCCUAAUGUCUCCCUAAUUGACUUGCUUCCCAGUAUGAAAAGUAUGAUGGCUUGGUAUAUACAUGUAAAUGUUAUGAAUCAUUGUCAUUUAUGGAGCUGUUGAAAGAAACAGAAAACAAUGAAUUUAUUUAUCUUAUGUUUUUUGCCAGUGUUCAUUGGUUGAAUGGUGGAAGAGUUAUACAAAGAUUUACGGUACUUUGAACUCUGAGGCUUUCUUUAAAAAAAAAAAACAACUUGGUGGGGUGCCUGGGUGGCUUAGUCGGUUAAG